AUUGAACGCUGGCGGCAGGCCUAACACAUGCAAGUCGAGCGGUAGCACAGAGAGCUUGCUCUCGGGUGACGAGCGGCGGACGGGUGAGUAAUGUCUGGGAAACUGCCUGAUGGAGGGGGAUAACUACUGGAAACGGUAGCUAAUACCGCAUAAUGUCGCAAGACCAAAGUGGGGGACCUUCGGGCCUCAUGCCAUCCGAUGUGCCCAGAUGGGAUUAGCUAGUAGGUGGGGUAACGGCUCACCUAGGCGACGAUCCCUAGCUGGUCUGAGAGGAAGACCAGCCACACUGGAACUGAGACACGGUCCAGACUCCUACGGGAGGCAGCAGUGGGGAAUAUUGCACAAUGGGCGCAAGCCUGAUGCAGCCAUGCCGCGUGUGUGAAGAAGGCCUUCGGGUUGUAAAGCACUUUCAGCGGGGAGGAAGGCGAUAAGGUUAAUAACCUCAUCGAUUGACGUUACCCGCAGAAGAAGCACCGGCUAACUCCGUGCCAGCCGCCGCAGUAAAAC
rnacentral:rRNA from 1 species